GUUGACCUCGGAUCGGGUAGGGAUACCCGCUGAACUUUAAGCAU
rnacentral:rRNA from 1 species